rnacentral:rRNA from 1 species
AGUGAACGCUGGCGGUAGGCCUAACACAUGCAAGUCGAACGGCAGCACAGUAAGAGCUUGCUCUUACGGGUGGCGAGUGGCGGACGGGUGAGGAAUACAUCGGAAUCUACUUUUUCGUGGGGGAUAACGUAGGGAAACUUACGCUAAUACCGCAUACGACCUACGGGUGAAAGCAGGGGAUCUUCGGACCUUGCGCGAUUGAAUGAGCCGAUGUCGGAUUAGCUAGUUGGCGGGGUAAAGGCCCACCAAGGCGACGAUCCGUAGCUGGUCUGAGAGGAUGAACAGGCACACUGGAACUGAGACACGGUCCAGACUCCUACGGGAGGCAGCAGUGGGGAAUAUUGGACAAUGGGCGCAAGCCUGAUCCAGCCAUACCGCGUGGGUGAAGAAGGCCUUCGGGUUGUAAAGCCCUUUUGUUGGGAAAGAAAAGCAGCAGGUUAAUACCCCGCUGUUCUGACGGUACCCAAAGAAUAAGCACCGGCUAACUUCGUG